rnacentral:lncRNA from 10 species
ACCAUUCAGCCUGAUCCGGAAGGAAGGCCAUGAUUUCAGCUCUCUGGGAUUUGAGACAAAGAGGCCCCUUUUCUUUCAUUUUAUCUUUUCAUGUCUCUUCUUGCCAUGUACCCACAUGAUUGAGUGUGGGCUGAGGGUGAAUCCAAGAAGGGCUUUGUUUUGUGGUCAGUACAGGCUUUGGUCCACAGAGACAACAAUACUUUCAAUACUCUUUUGUUCUGCCCCAGAGGAGCUCAACACAGAAUUGCCUAGAACAAGAAACUGGUGAGAGAAGCUGCAGCCUGUUGAGACUCCACAAGACUGAAGAUAUGAAAAGAGGAAAUAUGCAUGAAUGCCCGCACGGAGAACCACCCCCACCUGCUGCUCCCGCUCUAAUGAUCACGCCCAUUAUCAACUGGGGGAUGGCUCUGUGCCUUGUCCUUGCAUUACAUGGACCAAGAACACUUCACAGGACUCAGAGAGGCAAAAAUAGAUACAAAAGAAGAAGGAAUUACAGAAGAAGUCACAUAACAUUAUUGCCUACAACUGACUGUUUACCUUGAAUACUUGAAGACCAGAAUGAAGAUUCUUGGGGUGAAGAAUUACAGCCUUAGCAUGGAGCAGGCCUCGGUGCAUCGGCUUUCAGCUAGGCAUGCCUGCCAAUGUUCAACGUCCUCCUGGGAUACGGAAGGCACCGUGAUAGACAUCUGGGCAAGUCAACAGGAAGGUGGAUAUCCAAAUCUCUCUCUUCGCAAUGAGUUUCCAGUUAGAUGGAGGAGAGAGUAAUAAAACACAGAGCUGAGAUUCCUGACUUCACAGAUCCCUGAGGAGAUGUUUACUAAAGGGAAUCUUCUGGUCACUGUUACCUUCCUCCGUACUUACCUGCCUCAUGGAUAACACUGAAGAAUGCAGUUUACUUACAUCUUUUUCUGUUUGACAGAAGACAGUUAUUAGUUACCCUUGGGACAUCAAAAUGACCAAGGCAGUGUCUGCUAAGUAUUUGCUGAGACUCUGCUAUGAUUCUUUCAAGUCUAAAGACAGUUAUCUGAAUGAUAUCCCCGUGACAGUGGACUCCUGCACAUUCACAGUCCUGGAAGGAGCCUGUCCACAUUGGCAUUCUGGAAGUCCAUAAAAGACAAACGCAUAUGCAGUCCCCGAGAAAGCAUUGUUGUAAACAAAUCUGCACUAGAUGGAAACUCUGUUAUGUGGUGCCGGCAUGCAUGGAAGAGAACCCGAAAGGAAGAAGCUAUACGACUGGGGACACAUGUCUUAGAAGCACACUCAUUAGAUAAAGUGUCGCAUACUCUUUGAUAAGGUAAGGCUCCCUGGACGAGAUGUUUUACAGGUACCAUGAGCUCAGUGAAUUGCUUUUGGAAAGACACUCAGCGGAGUGGGCACCACGAGGUUAGGAGAAGCAGCUUCUGCUCGUCAUAACUUUGGCAAAUGUUUACACAUCAGUAAUGAAAAAUAUUCUCUUGGCGAUUUCAGGCUUGUUACUAUGGAUGUUGUUUGCUAACAUUGACUAUUUUUCCUAACUGCUUAUAGAAACUCCAGGCUGUCACCCAUCUGUUCUCUCAUCAAAGUAGUUUUGGGCCAGCAACUAUUUCAGACAUUUCUACAGUUUCAGAUGUCUCACUCUGCCUAUGACUGUAUGUUGUACUUGAGGACUGGACGCACAGGGUAAAGUGCAAAUAGCAAGCAUUCAGGUCCAACUCUCCUCCUUCUGGUUAACAAUAUGAAAGAAAGAGGUAGUAUCGGAAUUAUUUUAGUUCAAUGUAGCCAUUAUAAAAUGUGUAUAUAUUUUAAAACAUCAUG